AGCCGGACAGACCGUCGCUGCGGGCCUUUGGCCCGGAGAGGAAAGUCCGGGCUCCACAGGGCAGGACGCUGGGUAACACCCAGGAGGGGCGACCCUCGGACAGCGCCACAGAAAGCAAACCGCCGCGCAUGCGCGGUAAGGGUGAAACGGUGGGGUAAGAGCCCACCAGAUGCCGCGGCGACGCGGCAUGCUCGGCAUACCCCGUCUGGAGCAAGACCAAAUAGGGAAGGCGGUCGGCCCGACCCAUGCCUUCCGGGUAGGUUGCUUGAGGGCGCGGGCAACCGCGCUCCUAGAGGAAUGACGGUCACGUGCGGCUUGCCGCAUGACAGAACCCGGCUUAUCGUCCGGCUCC
rnacentral:RNase_P_RNA from 1 species